rfam:Oscillatoriales cyanobacterium 'hensonii' Contig_33, whole genome shotgun sequence.
UUGAGCCGUGUACGGUGAAAGUCGUAUGCGCGGUUCUGAGGGGAGGGGAUAGGCUAUACAUAAAACCUGUCCCUUUACCCGAC